rnacentral:rRNA from 1 species
GCAUAUCAAUAAGCGGAGGAAAAGAAACUAACAAGGAUUCCCCUAGUAACUGCGAGUGAAGCGGGAAGAGCUCAAAUUUGAAAUCUGGCGGCCUCUGGCCGUCCGAGUUGUAAGCUAGAGAAGCGCCAUCCGCGCUGGGGCCAUGUACAAGUCUCCUGGAACGGAGCGUCGUGGAGGGUGAGAACCCCGUCUGUGACAUGGACCUCCCAGCGCACAGCGAUUGCGCCCUCGAAGAGUCGAGUUGUUUGGGAAUGCAGCUCCAAACGGGUGGUAAACUCCAUCUAAAGCUAAAUACUGGCGAGAGACCGAUAGCGAACAAGUACCGUGAGGGAAAGAUGAAAAGCACUUUGAAAAGAGAGUUAAAUAGCACGUGAAAUUGUUGAAAGGGAAACGAUUGAAGCCAGUCGUACCGACGAGAAAUCAACCUUUUUGGGCGUGAACUUGUGGGGUUAAGGAGAGUUUUAACACCUCUCACCUUUGCAUUUCGCGUUCUUGGGGCGUACUUUCCCGUAUUUGGUAGGUUAACGUCAAUUUCGAGCGUUACAAAAUGAUUGGAGGAAUGUAGCUUCGAUCUCGUAUUGAAGUGUUAUAGCCUUUGAUAGAUGUAACGAUCGGGAUUGAGGAUUGCAACGAAUACCUUUCGGGGCUAUCCGUCUGAUCUCUGAUGGUUACCUUGGUGCCGAAAGCUUGCUUACGGUUAUCAAGGUUAAUUGUCAAAAGGUUAGAACGUGAUUAAAUUCGUUAAGGAUGUUGACGUA